GGUGGUUUAGCCUAGCGGACGUGGUCUCCUGCCGGUGACACGAAGGUUGGUGGAUGGAAUCCACCAACCUUCG